UACAUCUACCUCGUUGACCAGAAGAGUUUCCUUCCGGUCAACAAGGAUGUACCUUGUUGAUUGGAAGGAAACCCUUCCAAUCAAAGAGGUAGAUGACCUUCCUGAUCAGAAGGGUUUCCUUCCAAUCAACAAGGUACAUCCUUGUUGACCGUAAGGAAACCAUUCCGGUCAAAGAGGUUGAUGUA
rnacentral:miRNA from 1 species